GAUCCUAUGUUGAGACUUGAGAAAUUGUAAUGGUCAAUAUAUUGGGGAUGGUAACAUUUUCCUAUGUUUGUUAACCAGGCAACUCAAGUAAGAGAGUUUAUAGACGGUUCUAGAAUAAGUGCCUUUCUGAUCUUGAUGCAACUAUUGCAAAUGAAAGUUCUUUUCUUGAUUGCCAUCAUGCAACUGGCUUGUUUUGCCCCCUUCUAACCUCCUUUUGGUCUAUUUCUCCAUGUAGUGCAUUCAUUAAUCCAGUUGAUGUUGAAGCGUAUUCGGAAGAAAAGAAGGAUUAUCUUAUAGUGAAUCGUUAUACUAGAGGUUCUGAUUUUCAUCGUGCAAUACUUGAGAUUGUUGCCUAUUCUAAGAAGAUAUAAGGUGAUACAGACCCUUCAUACUCUCUCGCUUUCCGAUAAAUUUAGACGAGGGAGAUUGUAAUAACAUGCUUGUACUAGUUGAAGAUAUGAAUAACUUCAGAUCAAUUUUGGCGUUUAUAAAUUUACGGGAUUAAUGUGAGAUAUUCUUGAUUUAAUUUAAUUAUGUGUUUGUCUAUACAAUUUUAUGAUGGUGUGCUUGUCAAAAAUUUGAAAUACAAGAAUUUCCAGAACUUAUGUUUCUCGGAUCAAGUAUUUUCACAUCCGUUUUCUGGUAUAGUAUUGUGGGCGAAAGGAAGCAGAUGGUACUUCUACUUGCCGAUGUUUAUAAAACCGUUCAGCUAUGUGGAUUAUAUUUCUAGCUGAAACUAAAUAUGGCUCUAGUAAUUCCUGCCUGUACUGAAAGACUAGAGUGUGGCCGUUGAAUUAAUUUAGCUUGAGAAUGCCAGAUUGAUAUGCGAUAAUUUGAUAAAAAAACAUUAGGUACAGUUCAGAUUCAUAUCUAAAAAUAUCAACAGCUUCAUGUCAAAUAGCAGAUUUCUUAGAGAGUGUAGCAACCCGAUCAUAAACUUCAUUUCACUGCAAUUGUCAUAGCCUAAAGUUCCCAUACAUUUUUUUUUUCAAAAUACUUUUGGGAAAAAAAUUAAAAUUGUGGGGUGCAAAGUUAAAUCCCACAUCUGUUGAUUUUAACGGUCAACUAAACGGAGAGUGUCAAAGGCGUGCAAAGCGAAGCGUUUUUCAAAUUUUAGGGUGCAUUCUGCCAAAAAAAAAUGUUUGAGAUCAAAUCGAAAAAGCGUCUAAACAUAAGGGGUGCAAAGUGUCAAUCACUCUUAAAUAUAUUAUUUUAGUUUGAUGAUAAAUUUGUUUCAAAAUAGUGUAUGAUUUUCUGUUGAAAUAUUAUUUUAUAAUUAAUAAAUAUGUAAAUAAGUAAUUUAUUUUAACAUAAUAGUUUUUAAUAAUAUGUUAUAGAUAUGCUAUCUUUUUUAAAUAUGUAUCUAUUUCUAUAAUUGAUUAUUGUUAAACAUUAGUCUGAAAUUUUAAUUCCAAAAAAUAUUAUAUAAAUAUAAAAAGUUACUAAAGUAACUUUUAUUUUUAUAAAAUAAGGAUAGGCAACGAAAUAGCCAAAGUCUCACUAAAUUUUAUUUUAUUUUUUUAUUUUUGCAAUAAAAGGUUUCACAAUGCAAGAUUUUUUUUUCCGGUCAGGAUCUACAUGCUCGUAGAUGAGUUGUAUCAUAGAUACAAUAACCAUAUCAGGGAUUUCUUUCAUCCAACAAAGUUUAUUAUCUAACCAAAAGAUACGCAAGUUAUCUUCGGACAUUUAGAUAAUAAUAUUUUAAACUCUGAAUAAAAAUACUCAUGGUCUCUUUCCAUCAUCCAGAAAAUCAAAACAAGCAGAGAGAAAUAUAAGCAUGAUAAUUAAAGUAGAAAAAGCAUAUAUUAUGGGAAAAAAUAAAUCUAAUAUAUAAUUUUCGACAAAAAUAUAAUAUCUUAUUCAACAAUAAAAAAUAAGAACUUAUAAAGAAUAUGAGACCGUUAUGCAAAUUUAUAAUGUCUAACCAAAGUGAAAACUUUGGUUAGACACACAAAUAUUAAAAAAAUGUGUAUUUCAUGCUAAUUUUUUCUUGUGAAAACAACCAACAUUAACAAAGAUUUUAUAUAUUUUUUUAUUAGGAAAAUAAACAAACGAAUUAAUCACACUCAAUUUAUGGACUAAAAUAUAUAAUAUAAAAAUAUAUUACUAAUAUUUAACCUUUAAAUCACAAGAUACUGACAAUAAAAAUAUACAUUAAAAUAAAUAUUUCAUAAGAAAAAUUAUAAGUUCACUAGAUAUAUUUAUGAAAAUAUUUGAUAGUUUUAUAUAAAUGAACUUAAAUAUAUAUAUAUAAAAAAUUAAGUUAAAGGCAGCAAGCUGUAAGUACAAUUUAAUACAAUGAGAAAUACUCUAUAUAAUUAUAAAUAAAAUAAUAUCUACUAGUCAUCAUUUAUGACACCAAAAUACUUCUUAAAGGUACAAUUAUAUCACCAAUUAUGACCCCCCAAAAUGGUACUCCGACUAGUUACAAGUCAUUGAACAAGCCCUAUGGCUUGACCGCCAAAAAAUGAUCCGCAAUUAUUAUUUAUCAAUCUCCACUAAAACAAAACAUCCAAAUUCACAAAUUAUAUGUAAUUAAAAAUCAUUGAUAAAUAAUAAAAAAAAUUAUAUGAUAUUUAUAACACAUUUGAGCUAUAAAAAAUUGUUAUAAGAUAUGUAGCUAUAAAUAAUUAACAACAUUUAUUUAAAAAAUUCCAAAAUUUGAAUCUUAGAAAAUUAAUAAAAGUAAUCAAUUUCGAGAAAUAUAACUGAUUAUAACCUAUAUCAUUUAAGAAUAGUUGACCACAUUCUUUAAUAUACAAACAAGACAUUUAAGACCAUUAAAAACACAUUUAAGACUUAUUAAUCAAAAUCAAUUUCUUACCAAAAGAAUAAUUAUUAGCAUAAAUUGAAAAAUUCUAAUUUUAGUUUUUUUAAAAACAUAAAAGAUAUGAAAAUUGGAACAAGAUUUUCAUGAUCCUUAAUAAUCUAAUCUGAAAAGUACGAUGAACAAAAUUUGAAUAAAGAAACAUAUCAAGAAAUCAAGAAAACGCACAAACUAAUACAUUUUAUGAACUCGAUCAAUAAAAAUAUUGUGACUUGUCACGAAAGAACAAGAAAUUCAAUGAAAAUUUUCUGAACAAAGACUAUAGAGGCAUCACGAGCAAAAUAAUUAUACGUCUCAAUUUCAAUAAUCCUUAAAAAUACACCUCCAUGCACACUAAAUCAAGAAGAUCUACACAAAAACGAAGAAACGAUCCAAGACUAAUUUGUCAACAAAACAGAUUCACGAGAAAAUUUGAAAAGAUGGUUCGUAAGAAAAAUGAUACAUCUAUACUAUACUAUUAAAGACGAAACAUUAAAAGUUUGGUCGGUCGGUACUUGGACCAAAAUAUGGGCCUAUCUAUAUAAUCAAUUAUUCUGGACCUAUUUAUAUAAAUAAUUAUUCUUUUUUAAUUUGGGCCAAAGUACGGGCCUAUCUAUAUAACCAAUUAAUAAUCCUUUUAAAGCCGAAACAUUAAAAGUUUGUUAGUUCAGUACUUGGAUCAAAAUAUGGGCCUAUCUAUAUAACCAAUUAUUCUGGGUCUAUCUAUAUAACCAAUUAUUCUUUUUAAUUUGGGCCAUAGUACGGGCCUAUCUAUAUAACCAGAUAAUCCUUUUAAUUGAAAUAUAUUACUUUUUUAUAUUUUUGACUAAAAAACUCAAUCUUCUAAAAUAACAUUGAGAAACAUGGUAAUUACCUUUUUAACUAAAAUAUAUUAUCUUUUUAUAAAUUUUCCAACUAAAAAAUUAAUCUUUUAUAAUUAAUACGGACAUGGGCGACAUAUUUAUACGUAAAUAUGUGUGCCAAAAGUCUAAAAAUCAAAUAAUAAAAAAUAGAGGGAGUAUUAUUAUAUUGGUCGGGCAGUCUGUACUUGAGCCGAAGUACGGGCCUAUCUAUAUGUAUAACCAAUUAUUCUUUUUAAAUAAAAUAAAUUAUGUUUUAUAUAUAUUUUAGAUAAAAAAAACUCAAUCUUCUAAAAUAAUAUCGAGCAACAUAGUAAUUGUCUUUUUAAUCAAAACGCUUUAUCUUUUUAGAUUUUCUAACUAAAAAAACUGAGUUUUUACAAUUAACACGGGCGCCACAUAUAUAAAAAUAUAACAUCAUUAAACAUAAUUAUUAAUAAAUAACAUGUGAUAUUAUUCAACCAAAAUACAUUAAUAACAUUAUUUAUAAAUACUCUAAUGAUCUCAUAUUAAAAGAAAUAUUACAAAUCUGUCAUAUACUAUAUAUUAUUACACUAUUAAAGCCGAAUAUAAAAAUUCACUUGGUUGGUCAGUUAGUUGAGUUUGGUGAAUCGUUUGGUAUUCGACCACGGAGCUCUUAAAUUUAUAACAUUUUAUAAUAUAUUUUUUAUUAUCAAUUAAACCAAAAUAUUAAAUUUAGGUUAGUAUGAUGGGGAGGUAUGUGGUUUCAGGCGUAUGUUUUAUACCAUAUUAUUAAUUAUUAUUAACGAAAUAUCAAAGGUUGAUUGGUUAGUUUAUAUCUGAGUUUAUAGGCCACCUUAAAUUAUAACAUGUAAAAGAAAAUAUUUUGACAUUCUCAUUAAAAUAUAUAUGUUCGACCUAAUUUUCAAUUAGCCAUUUGACGGACUUAACUAUGAAGAAUUUAUCCAACUGUUAAAUAAAACAUUUAUUAAACCACGUUAUUUUAUCAUAAUUUUAUUUUUACAAUAAAAUUAGGUAACUUUAAAAUAUAUAUAAUAAAAUAACCAAUAAUUAAACCGCCCGUGCAUUCCACGGGUUAUAAGCUAAUAUUAAAUUAUGAACAAAGAUAAGAAAAAUAUACAAGUUUGACGAUAAAUCAUAGACAUGCAAGAAUAUUUCUUGAUAUAAUAUUUGGUAUAGAUUAGUUGAAUUGGUUGCAAAGAUAUGUAAUUUACACCAUCUUGAUACAUAAGUUCGUAUAAAAGCUCAUGUGAAUUAAGAAUAUACAUUAAUUAUUAAAAGAUUGAUUUCUAAUAUUCUCUCAAAAAUAUAAAUCUAAUUUGAGAUUUUGUGAUGUUACAAGAAAAAAAUAAUAUGUUUUCAAAGUACAAAUUUUAUCAGAUAUAUAUUAAAACUCAAAAUUUAAAUUAAUAACUAAAUUAAGUCACACUUAUUCGAUAUUCUUAUAUUUAAAAUUUUAAUAAUUAAUAAAUUCUACAUCUAAUUAAACGCACGCCCCAGUUUUGUUUCAAUUAAUGCUACUCUUUACAUUAUUAGUUUAACCAAAAUUAAAUUCUUUGUUGAAGAUACGGCCAACUUGAUUAAUUUUCUGUUUUGGCCUUAUUUUAUAAGCCAAUUUCAAAUUGGAUUCAUACCUGUAUCAAUAAUCAAUGAUAUAUAAAGAUGAUACAUUAAUAUAAUGUAAAGACAUGAUAUACUUAAUCAUAUCUCUUAAUAUGUCCGUGUAGUUAUUUAAUACAUGAAAUAAGUAGCAAAUCCCAUAUAGAUAUAAAAACCGAUACGCGUAAAAUUAAUGUAUAAAAUAAGUAGCAGAUCAUAUAGAUAUCAAGGCGGAUAUGCAUUAAAUUAAAUUAAUAUUAAAUUUUAUUUAGAAAAUGAGAAAUAAAAUAUAUAAUAAAAAGGAUGCGUGUACUUUUUCGACACGGACUGUCAUCAUGCAGACUAAACAGAUACUCCAUACAAAUAAAAGUUAAGAAUUUAAGACAUUUUAUUUAUAUGGGUGUUCCAACUUCUAGUAGUGUCUUAAAAUACCGGGACAUUGAUCAAGUGGCUAGUUUCUAUGGUCAAGUGCCUCGUUUUUAAGGUAUUACUAAGCAAAUGCUGAGACAUGAUAUGCUUCAUCAUAUUUCUUGAUAUGUCCAUAUAGUUAAUUAAUACAUGAAAUAAGUAGCAAAUCUUAUAAAUAUAAAAGCGGAUACGUGUAAAAUUAAUAUAUGAAAUAAGUAACAGAUCAUAUAUUAAGGCGGAUAUGUAUUAAAUGAAUACUAGAUUUUAUAUUUAGAAAAUGAGAGAUAAAAUAUAUAACAAAAGGUGUGUGUACUUCUUCGACAAAGCUGUAAAUAAAAGUUAAGAAUUUAAGACGAGCGUUCCAACUUCUAAUGAUGUUUUAAAAUACUAGGACAUUGAUCAAGUGUCUCGUUUCCAAGGUCAAGUGCCUCGUUUUUAAGCUAUCACUAAGCACGUCAUAUUUCACUUUUAUCAAUCAAAAAUUAAUGUCUCUCACCUUUUACACAUCUCUUCUCAUUUUUCCCUUCUCUCUGAUUAUAAUUCAAAUUAAUACUGUAUUAAUUAUAAGACAUAUUAUUAAAGUUCAUAUACGAAAAUCAUCCAUUAAAUCAAAUGAAUACUAUAUUUUAUUAUAUUUAUAAGACAUCUGGUUAGACAUUAUGAACUUGCUCUCACUAAGAUAAAAAUAUUAUUGAAUAACGAUAUAGGUACUCUGAAAUAAAUAAUUAGCAUUUUGGGAAAUUUUUUAUAAUUUAUGUAUGUGAAGUUUCACUUAUGAUUUAUCAAUAUUAUAUUAUUUUGGUUCAAGUGUAUAUGAAUUAUUGUUAAUAUUAUUUGUAUUAUUAUAUCUAAUGUCUAUUUCUAAAUAUUAAUAUUUUAUAGUAAUUAAUGUUAUAACAUUUACACUCAUGCCAUUUUUUAAGAAAUCAUUAUGAUUGAUGUGUGCAUAUAUAAUUUUAUUUAAUAUUUUUAUCAAUACAAUUAUACUUAUUUAUUCUUUUACAAUAAGUUCUUAUUUAUAAUUUUAUUUAAAUUAAUAAUUAAAUUAAAUCACACUUAUUUGAUAUUCUUAUAUUUAUAUUUUUAAUAAUUAAUAAAUUUUAUAUCGAGUUAAACGCAUGCCACAAUUUUGUUUCAAUUAAUGCUACUCUUCACAUUGUUGGUUAUAACCAAAACCAAAUUCUUUGCAGAAGAUACGACCAACUUGAUUAAUAUUCUCUUUUGACCUUAUUUUAUAAGCCAAUUUCGAAUUGGAUUCAUACCUGUAUACAUCAAUAAUCAAUAAUAUAUAAAGACAAUAUAUUAAUAUAAUGUAAAGACAUGAUAUGCUUCAUCAUAUCUCUUGAGAUGUCCGUGUAGUUAUUUAAUACAUGAAAUAAAUAGCAAAUCCUAUAUAGAUGUAAAAGUCGAAACGCGUAAAAUUAAUAUAUGAAAUAAGUAACGGAUCAUAUAGAUAUUAAGGCGGAUAUGCAUUAAAUGAAUCCGAGAUUUUAUUUAGAAAAUGAGAGAUAGACUAUAUAAUAAAAGGGAUGUGUGUACUUCUUUGAUACGGGCUGUUAUACACACUUCUUCGACACGGGCUGUUAUCGUGCAGACUAAACAAAUACUCCAUACAAAUAAUAGUUAAAGAAUUUAAGACAGUUUAUUUAUAUGGGUGUUCCAACUAGUAGUGUCUUAAAAUACUAGGACAUUGAUCAAGUAUCUCGUUUCUAAGGUCAAGUGCUACGUUUUUAAGGUAUUACUAAGCAAAUGUAGAUAUGGUUCAUCAUAUCUCUUGAAAUGUCCAUGCAGUUAUUUAAUUCAUGAAAUAAGUAGCAAAUCCUAUAGAGAUAAAAGCAAAUACGCAGAUACGCGUAAAAUUAAUAUAUGAAAUAAGUAACUGAUCAUAUAGAUAUUAAGACGGAUAUGCAUUAAAUGAAUACUAGAUUUUAUAUUUAGAAAAUGAGAGAUAAAAUAUAUAACAAAAGGGAUGUGUGUACUUCUUUGACACGGGCUGUUAUCCUGCAAACUAAGCAGAUACUCAUACAAAUAAAAGUUAAGAAUUUAAGACAUUUUAUUUAGAUGAGUGUCCAACUUCUAGUGGUAUCUUAAAAUACUUGGACAUUUGAUCAAGUGUCUCGUUUCUAAGGUGCCUCGUUUUUAAGGUAUCACUAAGCACAUCAUAUUUCACUUCCAUCAAUCAAAAAUUAAUGUCCUCACCUUUUACACAUCUCUUCUCAUUUUUCCCUUCUCUCCAAUUAUAAUUCAAAUUAAUAUUAUAUUAAUUGUAAUACACAAUUAUAAAACAUAUUAUUAGAGUUCAUAUACGAAAAUCAUACGUUAAAUCAAUAGAAUAUUAUAUUUUAUUAUAUUUAUAAGACAUCUGGUAGGACAUUGUGCUCUCACUAAGAUAAAAAUAUCAUUGAAUAACGAUUUAGGUACUCUGAAAUAAAUAAUUAGCAUUUUGAGAAUUUUUUUAUAAUUUAUGUAUGUGAAGUUUCACUUAUAAUUUAUCAAUAUUAUAAUAUGUUGGUUCAUGUGCAUAUGAAUUAUUGUUAAUACUAUUUGUAUUAUUAUAUCUAAUAUUAAAUGUUAAUUUUAUAGUAAUUAAUGUUAUAACAUUUACACUUAUGCCAUUUUUUAAGAAAUCAUUAUAAUUGAUGUGUGUGUAUAUAAUUAUAUUUAAUAUUAUUAUUAAUACAAUUAUACUUAUUUAUUCUUUUACAAUAAGUUCUUUUUAGCGCCGCGCGAGCGUAUUAUUUUUAUAGUUUUUUAAUAUAGUUAUAAUUAUGUUUAAAUAUAUUUUACAUAAAUAAGUUAUUUCAUCAUAUUACAUGAAAUUUUGUAAGAAAAGUGAAUACAAUUGUAAUUACAUAAUCCAGAUCAAACACAUAUAUUCCAAUUCCAAUAUAUUGCUGUAAUCAUAAAACCGGCCGCCCAACUUAAUUUACUUAUCUUUGAACUUUAAAAAAUUAAAGAUUUUACAAGCCCAAAUUGCAAGGCCCUAAUACCUAAGGCCCAACUUCUUGGCCCAAAAUCCACAUUUCUCCCUCGAAAUACAAUACAUGCAUAUAUACACACUCACUCUCUUAUUUCACGCCCAUAUUCUCAUACAGAUACUCACAAUUUACAAAAACCCAAAGAAUUCUCUUAAUAAAAUUAGGGUUUUGGAGCUUCUAAGCCCCCAAUUGUUCUGAUUAAAUUAGGGUUUUCACAAAUUCAUUUCAUUUUCAGGCGCCCAUUGCCUGAUUAUGCACUGAUCACAUAGCCACAACACAGUCAUCUCCAAACCGGCGAAUUUUUCGGUUGUUUUUUUGGUAAAGAUCGCACCUUUAAGUUGUUUUGUGUCUUGAAUUGUACUUAACUAAGCUUAAUUUCAUUGAAUUGUGUGCUAGUGUUGGCUUCUUGAUGGGUCGAAGAAAAGGUUCGAAAAACCGUAAGCGGCAAUGGAGAGUCGGUGAUCCUGUGCUUGCCAAACUUACGGGCUUUCCGUCUUGGCCUGCGAAGGUAUAUGUGUAAAUUGUGUUUUUUUUGUGUGUUUUUGUGUAUAAAGAUGCUGGCUUUAUUGUAAACAUGUGUUUAAAUUGUGUGUUUCUAUGUGUGAAGAUGUGAAUUUUGUUGUUAAGAUGUUAACUUUUUCGUAAAUGCGUGAGCUUUAGUGUCAAGAUGGGGAAUUUAGUUGAAUUGUGUUGUUUAGGGUAUGUUUGGAUCAGGGUUUGGUUUUAAGUUUUAAUUUACUGUUUAUGGAUUUGGCGGGGAGGUUUAGGGUGUGUUGUUCUAUUUGGUUUUUGGUGGUGUGUGAAUUUUUAUGGUGUUUGGUUUCAGGGGGAUGGAACUAGGGUUGUUUAUGGAUCUGGCGGGGAGGUUUAGGAUGUGUUUUUUUAUUCGGUUUUUAGUGUUAUUUGAAUUGUUUAUGUUGUUUAGUUUUAGGGGGUAGGGUUUUUUAUGGAUUUCGCGGGGAGGUUGAUGAUGUGUUUUUUUUUGUUUUUGUUUUUUGCGGUACGUGAAUUGUCAUAAAUGCCAUAUAUGUUUUUACUAUUAUGUGGCUGGUGGCGCUUCUAAGAGAACUGCGUAGUGGUUUGUGACAUUGUAUGAGCGAUUUGGUAAAUCGGCAAGCAAUUAUGGACUCUAAUAAAUUAAACUUUUUCGAAGAGGUAAUUAAAGAUUCGAACUUUAAAAGCGGAAAAAGAAAUGGUAGGCGGAAGCUUGCGAUACAGAAGGCUAGGUAUUAAAUGUCAGUAAAAUGUUGCUGUUAAUUGGGCGAACGCAUUUUUCUCGUGUGCAAGCGUCAUAUGAUGCUCUUUACAUCAUAACAUACGUCGAGGAAGUGACAUGCCUCAAGCACAUGGGAUAAAUAUUGUAUGACUAACGAAAUUCAAAGCUCAUAACUAGUUGGUUGCUUUUGGUAGGUUGAGGCGCCGGAGAAGUAUGGUUUUCCAGUGGACUCUAAAAAGGUGUUGGUGCUUUUCUUCGGCACCCAGCAAAUGUAAGUCACCGUGGCCACCCCUAGAGUACUAUCUUUUAUGUCAUCAUUGAAAUAGCUUCACAAGUAAGCUUUGAUUCUUGUCUAUAAAGGGAAAUUUCCUGUGUCUCACGAGUUUUUCAUAUGUGUACAAAUUCAUCUACCCAUAUCAUAGAAUACAUAUGUUGAAAUGAUCUUUAUUAGGCCCACUUGUAAUUAUCGUGCCAACCAACAUAAAGGGGUGAUUAAGGUAGCUCUGAAGUACAGGUCAGGAAAAAAUUAACGGAGGUUCUUAAUCUUAAACACCUACACUACAGGCAACUUAAGGAUCCUAUGUUGAGACUUGAGAAAUUGUAAUGAUCAAUAUAUAGGGGAUGGGUAACAUUUUCCUCUGUUUGUUAACCAGGCAACUUAAGUAAGAGGGUUUAUAGACGGGUCUAGAAUAAGUGCCUUUCUGAUCUUCUCUGGAUAUGCAACUAUUGCAAAUGAAAGUUCUUUUCUUGAUUGCCAUCAUACAACUGGCUUGUUUUGCCCCCUUCUAACCUCUUUUUGGUCUAUUU
rnacentral:lncRNA from 1 species